GUAGGGAAUAUUGGGCAAUGGAUGCAAGUCUGACCCAGCCAUCCCGCGUGCCGGAAGAAGGCCCUCAGGGUUGUAAACGGCUUUUGACGGUGAAGAAUCGACAGGAUGCGUCCUGUUUUGACGGUAGCCGUUGAAUAAGCACCGGCUAACUUCGUGCCAGCAGCCGCGGUAAUACGAAGGGUGCAAGCGUUAAUCGGAAUUACUGGGCGUAUAGCGCGCGUAGGUGGUUUUGUAAGUUGGAGGUGAAAUCCCCGGGCUCAACCUGGGAAUUGCGCUUGUGACUGCAAGGCUGGAGUGCGGCAGAGGGGGAUGGAAUUCCGCGUGUAGCAGUGAAAUGCGUAGAUAUGCGGAGGAACACCGAUGGCGAAGGCAAUCCCCUGGGCCUGCACUGACGCUCAUGCACGAAAGCGUGGGAAGCAAACAGGAUUAGAUACCCGAGUAGUCC
rnacentral:rRNA from 1 species